ACUCUAAGCGGUGGAUCACUCGGCUCAUGGGUCGAUGAAGAACGCAGCAAACUGUGCGUCAUCGUGUGAACUGCAGGACACAUGAACAUCGACAUUUUGAACGCAUAUCGCAGUCCAUGCUGUUAUGUACUUUAAUUAAUUUUAUAGUGCUGCUUGGACUACAUAUGGUUGAGGGUUGUAAGACUAUGCUAAUUAAGUUGCUUAUAAAUUUUUAUAAGCAUAUGGUAUAUUAUUGGAUAAAUAUAAUAAUUUUUAUUCAUAAUAUUAAAAAAUAAAUGAAAAACAUUAUCUCACAUUUGAAUGUGAAAAACGAAGAGAAAUAUUUUCUUUUUCAAUCAAAUAAUACUGAGAAAUGUCUAGCAUAAAAAAUUGAAAUAUUUUUCAUCUAGAAUUGUCUCUUAUUAAUGAUUCGGAAAUAGAAAAAUCUUGGUUAUGUUAUUAUUCUUCGUUGGUUCGUUAAAAAUGGAUAAAUAAAAACUUUGCAUACAAGAAUUAAUAAAAAUGUUAUAACGAAUUUAAUUAAAUGUUUUAUCAUUAUAUAUAAAGAAUUUAUGGCAAGAUAAAGUUAUAUACAACCUCAACUCAUAUGGGACUACCCCCUGAAUUUAAGCAUAUUAAUUAGGGGAGGAAAAGAAACUAACAAGGAUUUUCUUAGUAGCGGCGAGCGAAAAGAAAACAGUUCAGCACUAAGUCACUUUGUCUAUAUGGCAAAUGUGAGAUGCAGUGUAUGGAGCGUCAAUAUUCUAGUAUGAGAAAUUAACGAUUUAAGUCCUUCUUAAAUGAGGCCAUUUACCCAUAGAGGGUGCCAGGCCCGUAUAACGUUAAUGAUUACUAGAUGAUGUUUCCAAAGAGUCGUGUUGCUUGAUAGUGCAGCACUAAGUGGGUGGUAAACUCCAUCUAAAACUAAAUAUAACCAUGAGACCGAUAGUAAACAAGUACCGUGAGGGAAAGUUGAAAAGAACUCUGAAUAGAGAGUUAAACAGUACGUGAAACUGCUUAGAGGUUAAGCCCGAUGAACCUGAAUAUCCGUUAUGGAAAAUUCAUCAUUAAAAUUGUAAUAUUUAAAUAAUAUUAUGAGAAUAGUGUGCAUUUUUUCCAUAUAAGGACAUUGUAAUCUAUUAGCAUAUACCAAAUUUAUCAUAAAAUAUAACUUAUAGUUUAUUCCAAUUAAAUUGCUUGCAUUUUAACACAGAAUAAAUGUUAUUAAUUUGAUAAAGUGCUGAUAGAUUUAUAUGAUUACAGUGCGUUAAUUUUUCGGAAUUAUAUAAUGGCAUAAUUAUCAUUGAUUUUUGUGUUUAUUAUAUGCACUUGUAUGAUUAACAAUGCGAAAGAUUCAGGAUACCUUCGGGACCCGUCUUGAAACACGGACCAAGGAGUCUAACAUAUGUGCAAGUUAUUGGGAUAUAAACCUAAUAGCGUAAUUAACUUGACUAAUAAUGGGAUUAGUUUUUUAGCUAUUUAUAGCUAAUUAACACAAUCCCGGGGCGUUCUAUAUAGUUAUGUAUAAUGUAUAUUUAUAUUAUUUAUGCCUCUAACUGGAACGUACCUUGAGCAUAUAUGCUGUGACCCGAAAGAUGGUGAACUAUACUUGAUCAGGUUGAAGUCAGGGGAAACCCUGAUGGAAGACCGAAACAGUUCUGACGUGCAAAUCGAUUGUCAGAAUUGAGUAUAGGGGCGAAAGACCAAUCGAACCAUCUAGUAGCUGGUUCCUUCCGAAGUUUCCCUCAGGAUAGCUGGUGCAUUUUAAUAUUAUAUAAAAUAAUCUUAUCUGGUAAAGCGAAUGAUUAGAGGCCUUAGGGUCGAAACGAUCUUAACCUAUUCUCAAACUUUAAAUGGGUAAGAACCUUAACUUUCUUGAUAUGAAGUUCAAGGUUAUGAUAUAAUGUGCCCAGUGGGCCACUUUUGGUAAGCAGAACUGGCGCUGUGGGAUGAACCAAACGUAAUGUUACGGUGCCCAAAUUAACAACUCAUGCAGAUACCAUGAAAGGCGUUGGUUGCUUAAAACAGCAGGACGGUGAUCAUGGAAGUCGAAAUCCGCUAAGGAGUGUGUAACAACUCACCUGCCGAAGCAACUAGCCCUUAAAAUGGAUGGCGCUUAAGUUGUAUACCUAUACAUUACCGCUAAAGUAGAUGAUUUAUAUUACUUGUGAUAUAAAUUUUGAAACUUUAGUGAGUAGGAAGGUACAAUGGUAUGCGUAGAAGUGUUUGGCGUAAGCCUGCAUGGAGCUGCCAUUGGUACAGAUCUUGGUGGUAGUAGCAAAUAAUCGAAUGAGACCUUGGAGGACUGAAGUGGAGAAGGGUUUCGUGUGAACAGUGGUUGAUCACGAGUUAGUCGGUCCUAAGUUCAAGGCGAAAGCCGAAAAUUUUCAAGUAAAACAAAAAUGCCUAACUAUAUAAACAAAGCGAAUUAUAAUACACUUGAAUAAUUUUGAACGAAAGGGAAUACGGUUCCAAUUCCGUAACCUGUUGAGUAUCCGUUUGUUAUUAAAUAUGGGCCUCGUGCUCAUCCUGGCAACAGGAACGACCAUAAAGAAGCCGUCGAGAGAUAUCGGAAGAGUUUUCUUUUCUGUUUUAUAGCCGUACUACCAUGGAAGUCUUUCGCAGAGAGAUAUGGUAGAUGGGCUAGAAGAGCAUGACAUAUACUGUUGUGUCGAUAUUUUCUCCUCGGACCUUGAAAAUUUAUGGUGGGGACACGCAAACUUCUCAACAGGCCGUACCAAUAUCCGCAGCUGGUCUCCAAGGUGAAGAGUCUCUAGUCGAUAGAAUAAUGUAGGUAAGGGAAGUCGGCAAAUUAGAUCCGUAACUUCGGGAUAAGGAUUGGCUCUGAAGAUUGAGAUAGUCGGGCUUGAUUGGGAAACAAUAACAUGGUUUAUGUGCUCGUUCUGGGUAAAUAGAGUUUCUAGCAUUUAUGUUAGUUACUUGUUCCCCGGAUAGUUUAGUUACGUAGCCAAUUGUGGAACUUUCUUGCUAAAAUUUUUAAGAAUACUAUUUGGGUUAAACCAAUUAGUUCUUAUUAAUUAUAACGAUUAUCAAUUAACAAUCAAUUCAGAACUGGCACGGACUUGGGGAAUCCGACUGUCUAAUUAAAACAAAGCAUUGUGAUGGCCCUAGCGGGUGUUGACACAAUGUGAUUUCUGCCCAGUGCUCUGAAUGUCAAAGUGAAGAAAUUCAAGUAAGCGCGGGUCAACGGCGGGAGUAACUAUGACUCUCUUAAGGUAGCCAAAUGCCUCGUCAUCUAAUUAGUGACGCGCAUGAAAUGGAUUAACGAGAUUCCUACUGUCCCUAUCUACUAUCUAGCGAAACCACAGCCAAGGGAACGGGCUUGGAAUAAUUAGCGGGGAAAGAAGACCUUUUGAGCUUGACUCUAAUCUGGCAGUGUAAGGAGACAUAAGAGGUGUAGAAUAAGUGGGAGAUAUUAGACCUCGGUUUGGUAUCGUCAAUGAAAUACCACUACUCUUAUUGUUUCCUUACUUACUUGAUUAAAUGGAACGUGUAUCAUUUCCUAGCCAUUAUACGGAU
rnacentral:rRNA from 1 species